rnacentral:rRNA from 1 species
GCCCUGCUUGCAGGGUACUCGAGUGGCGAACGGGUGAGUAACACGUGGGUGAUCUGCCUCGUACUUCGGGAUAAGCCUGGGAAACUGGGUCUAAUACCGGAUAGGACCUUCUUUUAGUGUGGAAGGUGGAAAGUUUUUCGGUACGAGAUGAGCCCGCGGCCUAUCAGCUUGUUGGUGGGGUAAUGGCCUACCAAGGCGACGACGGGUAGCCGGCCUGAGAGGGUGUACGGCCACAUUGGGACUGAGACACGGCCCAGACUCCUACGGGAGGCAGCAGUGGGGAAUAUUGCACAAUGGGCGCAAGCCUGAUGCAGCGACGCCGCGUGAGGGAUGACGGCCUUCGGGUUGUAAACCUCUUUCGCUAGGGAAGAAGCCACUUUUGUGGUGACGGUACCUGGAUAAGAAGCACCGGCUAACUACGUGCCAGCAGCCGCGGUAAUACGUAGGGUGCAAGCGUUGUCCGGAAUUACUGGGCGUAAAGAGCUCGUAGGUGGUUUGUCGCGUCGUCUGUGAAAGCCCGGGGCUUAACUCCGGGUCUGCAGGCGAUACGGGCAUAACUAGAGUGCUGUAGGGGAGACUGGAAUUCCUGGUGUAGCGGUGAAAUGCGCAGAUAUCAGGAGGAACACCGAUGGCGAAGGCAGGUCUCUGGGCAGUAACUGACGCUGAGGAGCGAAAGCAUGGGGAGCGAACAGGAUUAGAUACCCUGGUAGUCCAUGCCGUAAACGGUGGGCGCUAGGUGU